rnacentral:rRNA from 1 species
GGGAAAGGUGUACGAGCUUAUAAUGCGUGUCCCUGGAGCAUGUUUCCUUCUGGAUUGGUGGACAGCGGCGUAACGGGGGAGUAACACGUGGGUAAUGUGCCCUCGGUACCGGGAUAGCCCGGGGAAACUCGGAUUAAUACCGGAUGGCCUUCCGAGCUCUCGAGCGCGGAAGGAAAGGUAGCUUCGGCCUCCGACCGAGGAUGAGCCCGCGGCCGAUUAGCUUGUUGGCGGGGUAACGGCCCACCAAGGCGACGAUCGGUAGCUGGUCUGAGAGGACGAUCAGCCACACUGGGACUGAGACACGGCCCAGACUCCUACGGGAGGCAGCAGGGGGGAAUCUUGCGCAAUGGGCGAAAGCCUGACGCAGCGACGCCGCGUACGGGAAGAAGGCCUUCGGGUUGUAAACCGUUUUCAGGAGGGACGAAGCCACUCGGGUUAAUAGCCCAGAGGGUGACGGUACCUCCAGAAGAAGCCCCGGCUAACUACGUGCCAGCAGCCGCGGUAAUACGUAGGGGGCAAGCGUUGUCCGGAUUUAUUGGGCGUAAAGAGCGUGUAGGCGGCCAAACAGGUCCGACGUGAAAUUCCGAGGCUCAACCUCGGCAGGUCGUUGGAAACCGUAUGGCUAGAGUCCGGAAGAGGAGAGUGGAAUUCCUGGUGUAGCGGUGAAAUGCGCAGAUAUCAGGAAGAACACCGAUGGCGAAGGCAGCUCUCUGGGACGGUACUGACGCUGAGACGCGAAAGCGUGGGGAGCGAACAGGAUUAGAUACCCUGGUGGUUCACGCCGUAAACGAUGGGUGCUAGGUGUGGGCGGUGUCGACUCCGUCCGUGCCGAAGCUAACGCAUUAGCACCCCGCCUGGGGAGUACGGCCGCAAGGCUAAAACUCAAACGAAUUGACGGGGGCCCGCACAAGCGGUGGAGCAUGGGGUUUAAUUCGAUGCAACGCGAAGAAACCUUACCUGGUCUUGACAUAGUAAGAACUUUC